rnacentral:rRNA from 1 species
GACGAACGCUGGCGGCGUGCUUAACACAUGCAAGUCGAACGAAAAGAGGGAAAGAGCUUGCUCUUUCCGGAAUUGAGUGGCAAACGGGUGAGUAACACGUAAACAACCUGCCUUCAGGAUGGGGACAACAGACGGAAACGACUGCUAAUACCGAAUAAGUUCCAAGGGCCGCAUGGCCCAUGGAAGAAAAGGUGGCCUCUACCUGUAAGCUAUCGCCUGAAGAGGGGUUUGCGUCUGAUUAGCUGGUUGGAGGGGUAACGGCCCACCAAGGCGAAGAUCAGUAGCCGGUCUGGGAGGAUGAACGGCCACACUGGGACUGGGACACGGUCCAGACUCCUACGGGAGGCAGCAGGGGGGAAUCUUCCGCAAUGGGCGAAAGCCUGACGGAGCAACGCCGCGUGAGUGAUGAAGGCCUUCGGGUUGUAAAACUCUGUGAUCCGGGACGAAAAGGCAGAGUGCGAAGAACAAACUGCAUUGACGGUACCGGAAAAGCAAGCCACGGCUAACUACGUG